rfam:Clostridium botulinum B str. Eklund 17B, complete genome.
AAAUAUUGUUAGGGGAGCUUGUACAAACAGGCUGAGAGGAAGCGAAAUGUAGCUUUGACCCAUAACCUGAUUUGGAUAAUGCCAACGUAGGGAGUAACAUUAAAUGUAUUUA